CAGCACAAAAUGUUCAUCUGAAACACGCAGCCUGCAGGUUCAUCAGGAUUUCCCACAACUCGUUGAUGACAUAGGGAAACCUCAUCCUCACUCUCGCACAGAGAGCUUUUGUCAGUCUCACAGCAGAAAAGAGCACCUCUUUGUCCUCUGCCUGCUCUUCAACACAUAAUCUCAACUUCAGGCUGAGCCCGUUCCUACCUUUCCAAAGACCUUUGAGAAAAAUCAAUCAUGAGUUUGAUUUGUGAAAUGCAAAAUUCGAUUUAUUGUACUUUAAUACAAUAAAAACUACUAUUUUGUCCA